UUCGUUACCUGACAUGGUGUCAUCUAAUGCAGAAGUUGCUGCGGGUCACACUGUGGGGCUGCCAGUGAUGACGGGCUAAAUCCUGCCAGGACCCCUUUCCUGUGUGGCGGCUGGCCUGAGAGAGCAGUGCAGUGUGCUCCAGAGCUGGGCAGAGCUGGGAACUGAGUGAGGAUCAGAUCCCUCACUGGGGUUCAGAAGUGUGUCGCACAGCAGCCUGCCAGCCAGCUGGGAAUGGGACACACCCAGCUUACCACUGAAGCUGAGAUGGAGGUUUGAGCCUGGAAGACUUAACUUCAGGAGAAGGAAGGAAAGAUUGUGGAAAGAAUGAAAAGAGGGAAGGAGAAGAGAAAAAAGAGAAUUUAAAAAAAAUCUCCUGCACUUGCUCUGGGCUGGGUGCACACAUUUUCUCAUCAACGCUCACCGCAGCUGCAGGAGGAGAGUGCUGUUAUUACUCCCAGGACAUGCAGACAUAAAUGGGAAGUACACUGGGUCGCCCAGCGAGGGUUCUAACUCCCACCUACCUGGCUGCAGGGUCUGGGUGCUGCGUGGGAAGGAAGAAGGUGAGAUGGAGGGGACAGAGGACAGAUGUUGGCAGCAAGAUACACAGAGAGACCAGCUCCUGGCUGCUCGGCACGGAGGAUGGUUCCUGGGUUCACAGGGCUGGAAACGAGAGCAACGAGGGGAUGGAGUGUCAGGUCCCCCAGGGUGAAAGAGGGCACUUCUUUAGCAUCUAGGGUGAGGGCUCCAGACAACCAUCUAAUGUUUUCUCUGGAUUCUUCUCCCUGGAAACAUGUGCUUUGUAAGUUGCACUCUUUCUUUUGAUGUCUGUCUUCUCUCUGUUUAUUGACCUGUUUUCUUGGAGCUGCUAAGAAGGGCCGUGGCCUGUGGCCUCUUUUCCUCUGAGUGGAACCAGGAAUUGGGAACAAUGGGAGCAAGACGGGAGGGGCCUGUAAGGCCUGCGGGUGGCCAGGAGAAUGCUCAGGGCCUCGUGGGAAUCUGGCCCACCCACGGCGCCCUUCCAUCAGUGGAGCUUUCCCUAUUAACCGCAGACCCAGAGGCGUGUCAGCAGACCCACGUCCUCUGCAAUUUCCGUGGGCCCAAAUGUUUCUCCUGAGGCCCGUGUCUUUGCCAGAAUGGGCAAAGGAUCCUGUGGCCGGAGGGAUAAUCGGAGAUGUGUGGGCGGGGCAGAUGUCCACAUCUGACAAGAGCAGCAGUUUAAGCAGCCUGGAGAAAAUUUCAGUCAGGCAAGGAGACUUCUGUAUCAAUCUCCCGCUGUUCCUUGGCCAUAACUUCAUGCUGGAUAUUGCUCAACAGUCCCACCAGUCACACGGAGCCCCAUCCCAAAACCAUGUGGAAACGAAAUCUUAUCUUCACCCUGCUGCCUGGGAAGCCUGCUUUCGGCCUCCGGGCCGGGUUCUUCCCGCUUUCUCGGGGGGUUAAGGAGGCUGCCAUGGCCGUCAGGCUGACCUGCAGCCUCUCCCCGCUCUCUCCUCUGCUGAGUGUUUAGCACCUGGACCUGCAUCUGGUCUUGCUGUUUUCCAAGGACGUGCACAGGCCUGAGAGGAAACGGUCAGCCUGGAGGGAAAUCAGGUAGAGGGUAGGUGCCUGGACACCCCUGCAGAUGGCAGGGAGGCCCACCAUCUGACUGCCUCCAUCUCAGGAGGACAAGAUUGAUGCAAAAGCCUGAGGAAGACUGGAGACCCAGGGCAAAGGAAAAAGGAUUACUGUACUGAAGAAUUCUGCCUGCUGGUGGUGGAACUGCUCUGGGAGAGAGCCAGGCUGCAGGGGAAGGUGCUAGUUAUCUCCAGGCUUACACAGUACAGAGUGUACUGCUUGAGGGGCAGACACUCCUCAGAUUCCAGCAGGGCUGCCCUGAAGAUGCUGGGACAAACUGGUUGAGUUUGUCCAGUAUGUGCCACGUGCACAACACCCAAAGAAUCCCACCUUAUCCUUUAAGAUCAUCAAGGUUGGCUCAAAUACCCAUUCCAAGACCGGUGGAAAGUACAAGUCACCCCCAAAGAUAUCUGCAAAUUCUAAGAAGGCUUGUUCAUGGGCAGCCUUGGCUCUGAGUUCCUGCUUCCCCUGAAUUAGUUCCAUGUCUGACUCUGCUCCCUGUUCUGUAGCUGCUGUCCUGGUUUUACAUCACAGUGACCCUGUGGAACGCAGCCCUUUCCCUUGGUUUCCCCUAAGAAAGCUGCUCCUACCAACCUGUGUGAAAGCUUGUGAAACAGACUCUCCUGAAGGCACAAGGAAGCUACGGAGGGGAUUACAUCCGAGCAGAACAACCGACUUCAGAUCCUGAAGCAGACUUCCUUGUUUGUAAGGGUUUGUUGGCCUCUCGAUAAUGUGGCUUGUCAUCUUCCUUCUCCCUCCACAACUAGUGGAGACCAAGAUGCUGAUGUCAAAGGUGUGUUGGAAGAGUUUGAUCAAAAGUACUGCAUUGUGAGUCGGUCAAAGCAAUAUUUCUACAUUAUAACCCUGUUGUGAUUUUUUAAUAUAUGAUUUAAACUAUUAGCCUCUUAAUUGCUCUUUAUAAAUUAAUACAUAUCAUGUGAUUUUAAGUAUGUAUAUGUAAUUAAAACAACGCAUGAACUGUUAUA